GUGCUCACUUCAGCAGCACAUAUACUAAAAUUGGAUUGAUACGGAGAAGACUAGUAUAGCCUCUGGGCAAGGAUGACACCCAAAAUCAUGAAGUGUUCAAUUGUUUU
ensembl:snRNA U6 U6 spliceosomal RNA